GAUGAACGCUGGCGGCGUGCCUAAUACAUGCAAGUCGAGCGAAUGGAUUAAGAGCUUGCUCUUAUGAAGUUAGCGGCGGACGGGUGAGUAACACGUGGGUAACAUGCCCAUAAGACUGGGAUAACUCCGGGAAACCGGGGCUAAUACCGGAUAACAUUUUGAACCGCAUGGUUCGAAAUUGAAAGGCGGCUUCGGCUGUCACUUAUGGAUGGACCCGCGUCGCAUUAGCUAGUUGGGGAGGUAACGGCUCACCAAGGCAACGAUGCGUAGCCGACCUUAGAGGGUGGUCGGCCAAACUGGGACUGAGACACGGCCCAGAUUCCUACGGGAGGCAGCAGUAUGGAAUCUUCCGCAAUGGACGAAAGUCUGACGGAGCAACGCCGCGUGAGUGAUGAAGGCUUUCGGGUCGUAAAACUCUGUUGUUAGGGAAGAACAAGUGCUAGUUGAAUAAGCUGACACCUUGACGGUACCUAACCAGAAAGCCACGGCUAACUACGUGCCAGCCGCCGCCGUAA
rnacentral:rRNA from 1 species